rnacentral:rRNA from 1 species
AGCGAACGCUGGCGGCGUGCUUAACACAUGCAAGUCGAACGGUGAAGCCAAGCUUGCUUGGUGGUUCAGUGGCGAACGGGUGAGUAACACGUGAGCAACCUGCCCUGGACUCUGGGAUAAGCGCUGGAAACGGCGUCUAAUACUGGAUAUGAGCUUUCACCGCAUGGUGGGGGUUGGAAAGAUUUUUCGGUCUGGGAUGGGCUCGCGGCCUAUCAGCUUGUUGGUGAGGUAAUGGCUCACAAAGGCGUCGACGGGUAGCCGGCCUGAGAGGGUGACCGGCCACACUGGGACUGCGACACGGCCCAGACUCCUACGGGAGGCAGCAGUGGGGAAUAUUGCACAAUGGGCGGAAGCCUGAUGCAGCAACGCCGCGUGAGGGAUGACGGCCUUCGGGUUGUAAACCUCUUUUAGCAAGGAAGAAGCGAAAGUGACGGUACUUGCAGAAAAAGCGCCGGCUAACUACGUGCCAGCCGCCGCCGUAAAAC